rnacentral:rRNA from 1 species
ACUCCAAGUGCUCGUUUCGAAAAAAGAAGCGAGCUUUUCUUGAGUGUAAGGAGCUCAAGAUAACAAGGGGUGGGCAAGACGGCUGCCAGCCGCCGCGGUAAUAGCCGCACCCCAAGUGGUGGCCACGAUUAUUGGGCUUAAAGUGUUCGUAGCCGGCCUUAUAAGUCCCUUGUGAAAUCUGGCGGCUUAUCCGUCAGGAGUGCAAGGGAUACUGUAAGGCUUGGGGCCGGACGGCGUCGAGGCUAUUCCCGGGGUAGGGGUGAAAUCCUAAAAUCCCGGGAGGAGCCACAAUGGCGAAAGCGCUCGGCGAGUACGGACCCGACGGUGAGGAACGAAAGCCAGGGGAGCGAACGGGAUUAGAUACCCCAGUAGUCCUGGCCGUAAACGAUGCCCGCUUGAUGUCAGAGGUCCUUCGGGGACUUCUGGUGCCGAAGUGAAAACGUUAAGCGGGCCGCCUGGGUAGUACGUCCGCAAGGAUGAAACUUAAAGGAAUUGGCGGG